rnacentral:rRNA from 1 species
AACGAACGCUGGCGGCAGGCUUAACACAUGCAAGUCGAGCGCGUAGCAAUACGAGCGGCAGACGGGUGAGUAACGCGUGGGAAUCUACCGUACCCUACGGAAUAGCUCUGGGAAACUGGAGGUAAUACCGUAUACGCCCUUUUGGGGAAAGAUUUAUCGGGGUAUGAUGAGCCCGCGUUGGAUUAGCUAGUUGGUGGGGUAAAGGCCUACCAAGGCGACGAUCCAUAGCUGGUCUGAGAUGAUGAUCAGCCACAUUGGGACUGAGACACGGCCCAAACUCCUACGGGAGGCAGCAGUGGGGAAUAUUGGACAAUGGGGGCAACCCUGAUCCAGCCAUGCCGCGUGAGUGAUGAAGGUCUUAGGAUUGUAAAGCUCUUUCACCGAUGAAGAUAAUGACGGUAGUCGGAGAAGAAGCCCCGGCUAACUUCGUGCCAGCAGCCGCCGUAA